rnacentral:rRNA from 1 species
ACAAAGGGCAGAAAGUUCGCGAGGACAAGCAAAUCCCAUAAACCGUGGCUCAGUUCAUAUCGUAGGCUGCAACUCGCCUACGUGAAGGAGGAAUCGCUAGUAAUCGCAGGUCAGCAUACUGCGGUGAAUACGUUCCCGGGCCUUGUACACACCGCCCGUCACACCAUGGAAGUUGGCCACGCCCGAAGCCGUUACUCCAACCCUUGUGGAGGAGGACGUCGAAGGUGGGGCUGAUGACUGGGGUGAAGUCGUAACAAGGUAUCCGUACCGGAAGGUGCGGAUGGAUCACCUCCUAAC